AUUCUUUUCUUUAAGAUAAUUUUGAGGCAGAAGCACCCAUUCCAUUUCCAGCUUGCUCAGUAGCUGGUGAUUGGAAGGUACUCUACAACAGUG
rnacentral:snoRNA from 1 species